UUUGCCGUUCUAUUUAUGCGCCACCACCAUCAGUACGUUUGCUCACGUUUUCCGGUUCGAGAUUAAGCCAAUGUUCAGUCCAUCACAGCUGCACUCGGACGUUGCUCUAGCGUUGUCUCUGCACUGCUCUGUUGUGGCCAUCACCGCACUGUUCAGGCCACAAUCAUUGCCGCCCCCUUGACUCGUUUCCGGUUAAUUGUCCGAUAGCCAGUAGUUGGUCUCCGCUAAACUCCGUUCGGCAACUGAGAUCCGUGAACUCGUUGAAGACAAAUUAUUUUGCUUUGCUUGCUAAACGUAAGGUAAUAUGGGAUGAUCUGGGAUUUCAGUAAGAAGCGUUAGGAAGUUACUGGCCAAGAUUCUUUAUUUCAGUAAUGUAAUAAAUAUAAUUAGGAUCUUUCAUUUAAUGUUAUGGAUUGGUUUUUA